rnacentral:rRNA from 1 species
AACGAACGCUGGCGGCAUGCCUAACACAUGCAAGUCGAACGAGACCUUCGGGUCUAGUGGCGCACGGGUGCGUAACGCGUGGGAACCUGCCCUUAGGUUCGGAAUAACUCCCCGAAAGGGGUGCUAAUACCGGAUAAUGUCUUCGGACCAAAGAUUUAUCGCCUUUGGAUGGGCCCGCGUUGGAUUAGCUAGUUGGUAGGGUAAAAGCCUACCAAGGCGACGAUCCAUAGCUGGUCUGAGAGGAUGAUCAGCCACACUGGGACUGAGACACGGCCCAGACUCCGAGGGGGGGAGGGGGGGGGGAAUAUGGGAAAGGGGGAGAAGGCCGGAACCAGCAAGGCCGGGGGAGUGAUGAAGGCGUUGGGGUUGAAAAGCUUUUUCACCCGGGAUGAUAAUGACAGUACCGGGAAAAUAAGCCCCGGCUAACCCCGUG